AUGAAGCCAUUAGCCAUGUCUCCCUCUUUUUCCAGCCACCGCCGCCGUGCCCCACUGCUUGUGCUCUUGCUGCUCCAAGCUCAUCUGCUUCUAGUUGUAGCCAACAGACUCACAAUUGCAUCGACUUUCAGGCCCCCAGAUAACAUCACAUGCUCGUCCGGGGACUACGCCUUCGGGUUCCGCGCCCUUGACGCUGACCCUAGCCGGUUCCUCCUUGCCGUCUGGUUCUACUUCAACCUCACCGAGGGAGCCAGCCCUGCGGAGCACAAGGUGGUCUGGUACGCGAAAGACCCAGUCUCAGGCUCGGCAGUCACGGCCACGGCACUAUCCAUGCUUACCAUCAAAGAUGGUAUGCUCUCCCUAGCCGCUGACACCGGCAACAUCUGGAGGAACCCCAACCCUGGCAUGUGGGGCACUGACCUCGUGCUCCAGGACUCAGGCAACCUCCAGUUCCUCACCUCCCCGGGCACAACUGUCGUGUGGGAGAGCUUUCAGGAUCCGACCGAUACGCUCCUCCCGGGGCAGUACAUGGGCGCUGGAGUUGCCCUUUACUCCAAGCUCUCGGACACAGACUUCCUGUCUCGUGGCCGCUUCAGCCUGAACGUGCAGACUGACGGUCACCUUGUCUUCCACCUCCUGAACCAUGCCGCUGGCAAUCUGGCUCAGGACUUAGACAACAUAUACUGGGCGAGCGGCACAUACAAGACUGGGGAGGACGGCAACACGACUCUUUUCUUCGACUCGCCGGGGCAUCUCUACUACCAAAUCAAGGACGGCACGGUGCAUGACGCGAUACCUCCACUUCUAAACUCCACCAUUAGUUACCACCAGCACGCAUCGCUCGAUCCAGACGGCAUCGUCCGCGUCUACACCAGGCCGAAGAAUACCACCGGGGGAAGCAGCAAAGUGUUGUGGGCAGUCAGAGGACAGUUCCCAACCGAAGGUUGCACGAGGAAAACCACUUUGCAAGGUUUGUGUGGCCCCAACUCGUACUGUGUGUAUGGUCCUAACAACCGGCUGGAUUGUGAGUGCCCAAGCGGCUACUCCUAUGUCAAUUCUCAGCUCAGGUACAUGGGCUGCACACAGGGGUUCAUGCCGCAAAGCUGUGACGGGAAGAACUACUCCGCCGAGUUUGAGGUUGUCAAGCUCCCAAACACCACUUGGACAAACUCGCCAUACGAAAGACUUAUGCACAUCAGAGAGGACGAGUGUGCAGACUACUGCUUGGACGACUGCCUCUGUGUCGCUGCUACUUAUGAUGGAACUUACUGUAGCAAGAUGGUGUCGCUGGCAGGUAUCGGACGCCGUGGAGAUGACAUCGCCAUGAAGGCGUUGAUCAAGGUGCGGACGAGCAGCCCCUCGUUGCCGGUGCCACCAAGAAGGAUAUUGCCUUAUGCACUAUUCGGUGGCUCGGCAUUCCUGUUGCUGCUGUCCGGGGUAAGUAGUCUCAUGUUACAUUGCUACCUUAGGAAGAAGAAUACCAACCAUGACUUUGUUAGGGCUUACACCACAAAAGAGCUUUACAAAGCCACCAAUGGCUUUCGUAAGUUGCUAGGCAGAGGAGGCUUUGGCGAGGUCUACCAUGGGGUGUUGAAGUCGCUACAUUCCCCCGACAUAGCAGUGAAGAAGCUCAUCAGUUCCAAUGAUUACAGUGAGAGGGAGUUCGCGAAUGAGGUACAGUCCAUCGGCCAGAUCCACCAUAGGAACCUAGUCCGCAUGGUUGGUUACUGCAAAGAGAAGGAGCAACGGAUGUUGGUGUUCGAGUUCAUGCCAGGUGGUUCCCUUCGGAGCUUCCUAUUCCAGCCUCAGCAGCAACCGAUGUGGAGUUGGCGCGCUGAGGCAGCCCUUGGCAUCGCCAAGGGCCUGGAGUACUUACAUGAAGGAUGCAAUUAUCCAAUCAUCCACUGUGACAUCAAGCCCGACAAUAUAUUGUUAGAUAGCAAGAAAAAUCCGAAGAUUACUGACUUUGGGAUUGCCAGGCUUCUUAGUGACCAGCAGAUGCACACCACUGUGACCAACAUCAGGGGCACAAGGGGGUAUAUUGCUCCCGAGUGGUUCCAAAGCGACAGGCGCAUCGACACCAAGGUUGAUGUGUACAGCUUCGGUGUUGUGCUACUAGAGAUGAUAUGCUGCCGAAAGUCCCAGGAGCCAGUGCCUGGUCAGGAUGGUGACGACUCGGUCAUGCUAUUCGAGUGGGCUGGUCAGUUGAUUGCUGAUGGCAGGACCGAGGUUCUGUUUCAUAGUGAUGACGAUGCCAUUGAGGAUUUGGUCAGAGUGGAGAGGUUCUUGCGUGUUGCUCUCUGGUGCAUUGAGCAGAAUCCUUCGCUCCGCCCGACAAUGCACCAGGUGGUGCAGAUGCUGGAGGGUGUUGUUGAGGUCGACACUCUACCUGCUCCUACAAGCUCCAACUGUUCAUCGCCGUUCGCCUCUUCAGUCGACGAGAGCCCUCUGUUGUCAGCUGCUGCUACUCUCGCGAUAGAGUGA
rnacentral:rRNA from 1 species